CAAAAAUUCAGAACCAAGAAACAAAAUAAGUAGUUCAAAACAUCAACUAGUUAAUCACGAAAGGAAAUUUUCCAAGGAUGUGGACAUAAUUUUAGUUGGGAUAAAGACGGUGAUAAGGAAAUAUUGGCAGCACCAUAAUAUCAUUCACGUCCAGAUUUUUACUUCCAAUAUAUAUGCACACGUUCAGCAACCAACAUUUGGGGGAAUUGGAUAUUCACUUAAGCUUGGUAUUAGCAAUAUCUAUUUUCCCAUACUAUCAAUUCAUGGCAGCAAUGUGAAUAUAUAUUCAAGGAAUCAAUAUGUUAAUGUUGGGGAGAAGAUAUAUUUUUCCUUGAAGAAAGAAGAAGAUGAAGUUCUAUGAUGGAAGCAAAACACGAAGAACGACAUAAAGUCCAUGCCCCGGUUUCCUCCGGGUAGAAAAUCAGAGAUUUGUAUGUAGUGAAGUAAUCUUGUGGGUGGUCUAAUUUGAAUGUUAUAAGGCUAAAGGGGUGACGAAGCGAACGUGGUUACGGUUAACCUAUAACAGGUACAGAUACUCGCUUUGGUGAGACGUCAGCUUAGGACUUCCUUUCUGCUAUCUUGGAGAGCUUCGUUGUUCCGGAGCCCAGAUUUUGGUAUAGAUCUUUUUUUUGAUAUAUAUCUAUGUAUAUGUUGUCUAAGGGUACGACGGGGCCCUGUCCCGUCAUAUUUCACUGUUGAAACUCUUAGAGGUCUGUAGACAUGUAUGUGGGUCGUGUUCAGAUGUGGUCAGUUGUGCCAAUAUGGUCAUUAUGGAUGUUCUAGUGCUGUAGCAGCCUUGCCGGCUUACAUAUAUUAUCCUUUGGUUGUGGCAGCCUUGCCGGCUUGCAUAUAUUAUUGUUCUGU